UACGUAGGGGGCAAGCGUUGUCCGGAAUCAUUGGGCGUAAAGAGCGUGUAGGCGGCUCAUGAAGGCUGUGGUGAAAGUCCGGGGCUCAACCUCGGAUCGGCCGUGGCGACUCGUGGCUGGAGCACUGUAGAGGCGGGUGGAAUUCCGGGUGUAGCGGUGGAAUGCGUAGAGAUCGGAAGAACACCAGUGGCGAAGGCGGCCCGCUGGCAGUGGCUGACGCUGAGGCGCGACAGCGUGGGGAGCAAA
rnacentral:rRNA from 1 species